rnacentral:rRNA from 1 species
AGGACGAACGCUGGCGGCGUGCUUAACACAUGCAAGUCGAACGGUGAAGCCUUUCGGGGUGGAUCAGUGGCGAACGGGUGAGUAACACGUGGGCAAUCUGCCCUGCAUUCUGGGACAAGCCUUGGAAACGAGGUCUAAUACCGGAUACGACGCAUCUCCGCAUGGGGUGUGCGUGGAAAGCUCCGGCGAUGCAGGAUGAGCCCGCGGCCUAUCAGCUUGUUGGUGGGGUAAUGGCCUACCAAGGCGACGACGGGUA